CGGGCAUAUUUAAAGGGAAAAAGGAGCACAUCCUGAUUUAUGAAGAAAGUGAACUUAUGCAGUAGGACUAAAUCAAUAAGCUCUUAUAUUCUAUAUACACACAAGGUUACCAUUAACAUUCAAGUACCGGCAGUAGGCAAAGCCGCCAUGAAUGAAUUAUAAGAAGAUUCAAGAUCAAAGUGAAGCUGCCGAGCCUGCUGCUCGGUUAACUCAUCCGCUGCGCCCAUCUUCGAAAGUCGUCCCAGCCACUCCUUCAUCUUCGUCUUCCCUUCAAAAUCCGGCGGCAGAAUGGUCAAUUUGUUCAGUGAAGCAGAGAGGUCCGAGAGCAGGGGGUGCACCUGAUCAACCGCCACCAUGUUCAGUUUCAAGGAAUCCAUAGCCGUAAUGAAGUUCUGCACGCACUCCGCAACAAUGGCGGCGGAGGUCGUGGCGGAGGCGGCUGCUGCCGCCCUGUGCUCCACCGUGGCAGGCACCCCAGUUAUCACAAGACGGUUAAUCGCCGCCGGACAGUCCAUUUUGUAAGUGUCUGCAAAUCGUUCGAUGCUCGGGACUGUGUCUUUAAGCGUCGAGGCCAGGGUUUUGAAAUGUGCGAUGAGUUUGAAGCAUUCGGUCUCGUAAUCGGAGGAGGGGAUAAUGUCACGGAUGUAAGCCUUUUCGAGCUUUUCGGUGGCCUUGAUAAUGGCGUAG
rnacentral:misc_RNA from 1 species